rnacentral:misc_RNA from 1 species
GUUUUUUAUUAUUGCGAUGUUACCUUAGUAUGCGUCAAGAAAGCGUUGUUCUUGAAGAAUGGGACGGUGUCAGCGUGGCGGCGGGCAGCGGGAGCAGCACCAGGCCGAGGUGGAGGCGAUCAGCGGGACAGCAACGGUCCAAGUUGGAGGCGGUCAGCGGGACAGCAAACGGUCCAAGGUGGAGGCGGUCAGCGGGACAGCGACGGUCCAAGUUGGAUGGCAAUCAGCGUGAGAGCAAUGGUGCAAGGUGGGGUCGAUCAGCGGAACAGCAACGGUCCAAGGUGGAGGCGGUCAGCGGGACACCAACCAAGGUGGAGGCGUUCAGCGGGACAGCAACGGUCCAAGGUGGAGGCAGUCAGCAGGACAGCAACGGUCCAAGGUGGAGGCGAUCAGCGGGACAGCAACGGUUCAAAGGUGGAGGCGGCCAGCGGGACAGCAACGGUCCAAGGUGGAGGCGAUCAGCGGGACAGCAACGGUCCAAGGUGGAGGCGGUCAGCGGGACAGCGACGGUCCAAGGUGGAGGCGAUCAGCGGGACAGCAACGGUCCAAGGUGGAAACGGUCAGCGGGACAGCAAUGGUCCAAGGUGGAGUCGAUCAGCGGGACAGCAACGGUCCAAGGUAGAGGCGGUCAGCGGGACAGCAACGGUCCAAGGUGGAGGCGAUCAGCGGAACAGCAACGGUCCAAGGUGGAGACGGUCAGCGGGACAGCAAUGGUUCAAGGUGUAGUCGAUCAGCGGGACAGCAACGGUCCAAGGUAGAGGCGGUCAGCGGGACAGCAACGGUCCAAGGUGGAGGCGAUCAGCGGAACAGCAACGGUCCAAGGUGGAAACGGUCAGCGGGACAGCAAUGGUCCAAGGUGGAGUCGAUCAGCGGGACAGCAACGGUCCAAGGUAGAGGCGGUCAGCGGGACAGCAACGGUCCAAGGUGGAGGCGAUCAGCGGGACAG